CCUAUGAUGAGGAAUAUUAUAAUUGAGUGAGUGCACUAAUAUUAGUGCUAUAAUUAUUUUAUUUUGGUCACAUGAAUAAUUAUACUAUGGUACUUUAUUAAUGAGUAAUAUUUCCAUAGUUUUUGUGAUUAUUAUUUAAUCACCCUUCUCACAUGAUUUAUUUUUAAUUUCCCAAGUAUGAGACUAAUUACUAAAAUUUACUAAGUGUAGAGAUUGAGAGAGUAGAGAUUUAGAGAGUAGAGAUUAGAGAGAGAGAGAUCAAGGCAUUAAUUGCCAAAUAUUUCAUAAGAUUCUCAAAUCCUCUUUAAAGAUUCACAAAUCUUUUAUAAGAUUACCAAGAUCAUUUCAUAUCUUGCAAAUUCCUCUCUCUCCUUCUCCCCUAACUUUCGACCACCACCUCUCUCCCCUUCAUCUCUCUACUUUCCACCAUUUUCCUCCAUUGAUGCACCUUCGGAGCUUCACAAAUUCAUACCAAAACUCAAAUCACCCUCUAAAUCCACCUUAAACACCUUCCAUCUCCUUAGAUUCAAGAAGAUCCAUGGAGAUUCAAUCUUGAAGUUAGUGAGAGAAAAUUUGAUAUUUGGUGUAAACUUGGACACGAGCAGAGCAGGGAAGUAAGUAACUCCGCUUUGACGGGAGUUUUGAGUAAGGUCUUCAGGCUAAGCGAGGAGUGAGAUUGGUCUGGUGCUGGUGGGGGAUCGUUAGAUGAUGUAUUUACUUUAUCGUAUUUCCUUUUUAUCGAUAAAGUCUCGAUGUGAAAUUACUUUGAAUAUGAAUCAAGUAAUAUACUCACGGUUAUGUGUCUUCAUACAUAUAAUCGGUUCGCCUUUUGCUGCGAUACUCUGCAUAUUAUGUUUCCUUAUGAAAAAUAAGCUAUACCUGUUUUGUUUUUGUUCGUGAAAUUCCUGAUAAUUAAAAAGUUAUAACGACGUUGACGAUUU